AGAGUUUGAUCCUGGCUCAGGAUGAACGCUGGCGGCGUGCUUAACACAUGCAAGUCGAACGAAGCACUUUAUUUGAUUUCCUUCGGGACUGAUUAUUUUGUGACUGAGUGGCGGACGGGUGAGUAACGCGUGGGUAACCUGCCUUGUACAGGGGGAUAACAGUUGGAAACGGCUGCUAAUACCGCAUAAGCGCACAGCAUCGCAUGAUGCAGUGUGAAAAACUCCGGUGGUAUAAGAUGGACCCGCGUUGGAUUAGCUAGUUGGUGAGGUAACGGCCCACCAAGGCGACGAUCCAUAGCCGACCUGAGAGGGUGACCGGCCACAUUGGGACUGAGACACGGCCCAAACUCCUACGGGAGGCAGCAGUGGGGAAUAUUGCACAAUGGGCGAAAGCCUGAUGCAGCGACGCCGCGUGAGCGAAGAAGUAUUUCGGUAUGUAAAGCUCUAUCAGCAGGGAAGAUAAUGACAGUACCUGUAGAAUAAGCUCCGGCUAACUACGUGCCAGCAGCCGCGGUAAUACGUAGGGAGCAAGCGUUAUCCGGAUUUAUUGGGUGUAAAGGGUGCGUAGAUGGAUAGGCAAGUUGGUUGUGAAAUACCUCGGCUCAACUGAGGAACUGCAGCCAAAACUACAAAUCUUGAGUACUGGAGGGGAAAGCGGAAUUCCUAGUGUAGCGGUGAAAUGCGUAGAUAUUAGGAAGAACACCGGUGGCGAAGGCGGCUUUCUGGACAGAAACUGACAUUGAGGCACGAAAGUGUGGGGAGCAAACAGGAUUAGAUACCCUGGUAGUCCACACCGUAAACGAUGGAUACUAGGUGUAGGUGGUGAUAAGCCAUCUGUGCCGUCGCAAACGCAGUAAGUAUCCCACCUGGGGAGUACGGCCGCAAGGUUGAAACUCAAAGGAAUUGACGGGGGCCCGCACAAGCAGUGGAGUAUGUGGUUUAAUUCGAAGCAACGCGAAGAACCUUACCAGGGCUUGACAUAUACAGGAAUAUAUAAGAAAUUAUAUAGCUCUUCGGAGUCUGUAUGCAGGUGGUGCAUGGUUGUCGUCAGCUCGUGUCGUGAGAUGUUAGGUUAAGUCCUGCAACGAGCGCAACCCCUAUCUUCAGUAGCCAGCGGUUCGGCCGGGCACUCUGGAGAGACUGCCAGGGAUAACCUGGAGGAAGGUGGGGAUGACGUCAAAUCAUCAUGCCCCUUAUGGCUUGGGCUACACACGUGCUACAAUGGCGUAAACAAAGGGAAGCGAGCCUGCGAGGGGGAGCAAAUCCCAAAAAUAACGUCUCAGUUCGGAGUGUAGUCUGCAACUCGACUACAUGAAGCUGGAAUCGCUAGUAAUCGCGAAUCAGAAUGUCGCGGUGAAU
rnacentral:rRNA from 1 species